ACAAGAUUUUUCGACUAGUGAAACUUUUAGCCGAUCUGAGUACUAGGCUAAACGGAGGAAAGUAUGAGUUCCGAAGACUUUCAUUAGGGCUCACAAAUGCGGCCUGCAUUUUCCGCGGUUUUCGUCGAUCCAGAACUUCUUUUCUUGGCGUGGACCCGUUUGGCAGGAUGUCCAUGUAGGGACCGAAGUCCCACUCGUCAUGCUCCUUCCUAUUUGCCUCUCGUUUACUCCUAUGGUUAGCUCGCGGAUUUCGUUGAUUUCUGCAGUAGGGACGCGGUGACAUGGCUCAAG